rnacentral:rRNA from 1 species
GAUGAACGCUGGCGGCGUGCCUAAUACAUGCAAGUAGAACGCUGAAGGAGGAGCUUGCUCUUCUGGAUGAGUUGCGAACGGGUGAGUAACGCGUAGGUAACCUGCCUGGUAGCGGGGGAUAACUAUUGGAAACGAUAGCUAAUACCGCAUGACAACAGUUAUUGCAUGAUAACUGUUUAAAAGGGGCAACUGCUCCACUACCAGAUGGACCUGCGUUGUAUUAGCUAGUUGGUGAGGUAACGGCUCACCAAGGCGACGAUACAUAGCCGACCUGAGAGGGUGAUCGGCCCCCCUGGGACUGAGACACCGCCCAGACUCCUACGGGAGGCAGCAGUAGGGAAACUUCGGGAAUUGACGGAAGUCUGACCGAGCAACGCCGCGUGAGUGAAGAAGGUUCUCGGAUCGUAAAGCUCUGUUGUAAGAGAAGAAAGAGUGUGAGAGUGGAAAGUUCACACUGUGACGGUAUCUUACCAGAAAGAGACGGCUAACUACGUG